GAAAGCAGGUUAGAAAACAAAAGGAACGGGAGAAAAUUGUUACAAACCCAAAAAGGAGUAAAAUCAAACCCAUAACAUUUCGAUUCAAUACAAGUUAUGACCGGAAGAGAAUGUGUUAACAGUUGACAAAUCUUGUACAUGGCUGUCAAUAGGUUAGGGUUAUUGAACCGGUGUCACAUAUUUUACCAUAAGCAGGAAAUUCUGAACAGGAACUUUUUACCCCAGUUAUCUGGUCAGUUAUGCCCCAGACAGCACUAGAAUUACAUCAUACAAGUUACACAACAAAAGACUAGUAAAAUAACAUCAAAAGAUGGACAUUAACCCCCAACAUAAACAAGCAGUCACGAUUUAAUGUAAACUCUAUACAUUACUAUCAGCACCAGAAAAAUGAUCAUAUAUCAGAUCCUAAUAACCAGGCAGGCUCAGGACCAGCAGGAAAUAUGGACUAAUGUGGAUCAGCAUUCGGGAAACGCCAUCUCUAGUGCAGUAUCAGGCCUCAUUCAGACGCAACUGCAUUAACCCUUAAAGGGGUUGUGUCACUUCAGCACACCACCUUUAAUACAAGGCACUUACUAAUGUAUUGCGAUUGUCUAUAU